UUUUACCUCUCCAUUCAGUUUCUUUGCCUAGCUUCAGCUCUGAGAAUCCUAGCCUGGGUUAGAGACCUGAGCCUUCCCACUUUAUGAGAAUAAACCUACAGUUACUUGCAUUGUUCCAGGAAGCAAAAGAAUACAGAGUUAAGAGUAAAUAAUAAGCUCUGGAGUUAAGCUGCCUGGGUUCAUAUCCUGGUUUCAACACUAAAGAGCUGUAAGUUUGGUCAAAUAACCUUUGUGAUUUCAGUUUACUUAGCUAUAAAGUAAAAUAAGAGUAGUGCCUAUUGCACAACAUUUUUGUGAGAAGUAAAGGAAAUAACAUGGGUGAAGCACCUGGCAAAAUGCCUGGCUUAUUGUAAGGGCUCAGAAAUAGUAGCUCUUAUUAUUAUUGGAAGAGCCAAUUUAAAUCCCAGGGAUCACCUCAGCAGCAUGGUUAAUAUCCCACGUGUCCUUCUUGUAAAAUGGGUGUUCAUUAGCUACUGCUGCAUCACAAAGUAACACAACUUAGUAGCUUAGAGCAACCACAUUUAUGAUCUCACAGUUUCUAUGGGCCAGGAGUCUGGUGCCUAGCUGGGUCCCCUACAAGGCUGCUGUCAAGGUGUGAACCAUGGUUUGUUUCUCAUCUGGAGGCUCAACUGGGGAGAGCCCACUUCCAACUCACUCAGAUUCUGCCUACACUAAAGGGGAGAGGAUCACAUGAAGGCAUGAAUACCAGGAGGUGGGCAUCAUGGGGUCAUCUUCGUGUCUAUCUGCCACCAGAGAGACGAUAAAAAAAGAAACAAGCUCAUGGGUUGUUGUGAGGAUGAAUUGAGUCAAUGUUAGCAAAGCGUUUAAGAUGGUGCCUGAUGCAUAGUAGGAGCUCAGUGAGGGUUUUCCAUUAUAAUCAGGCCAAUGAGUGGAGGAGAAAGCUGGGUUGGAAUGAAUGAAUGAAUGAAGCUGCUUUCAGGAUUCAUAACUGAGUAGAUUCUUCCCAGGCUAGCUUUAUGCAAGCCUAAUUUCCCCAGUGGUUUUAGAUUAGCGGCUGCAAGCUCUGCUGUGGGUGGUGUUGAAUGUCAACUGUGGGUGGGUAUUACUUGCAUUAGUCAUGUGUAACUAAUUUAAAGUACACUGUGUUUUCAGGCAAGUGUCUGUAAUUGCCAUUUUUGCUAAUUGUGAGAAUGACUUGUUUGCCAUCUUCCCUCACAACUAUAGAAAAAAGAGUCAGGAAUCGAGGAGUGCACUUGAAUAAAUUGGCCUCCUCCUAAGUGAGGUCCCCAGGUAUUGGUUCGGUGUAACAGGCUGGCUUGUAAGCAAAGUUCAGAUACUCACAAAGCUUGGGUCAGUUCAAAAUUAUCCUGGCCAACCACAGAUUCUCUG
rnacentral:lncRNA from 1 species